rnacentral:rRNA from 1 species
GACGAACGCUGGCGGCGUGCUUAACACAUGCAAGUCGAACGGAAAGGCCCUGCUUUUGUGGGGUGCUCGAGUGGCGAACGGGUGAGUAACACGUGAGUAACCUGCCCUUGACUUUGGGAUAACUUCAGGAAACUGGGGCUAAUACCGGAUAGGAGCUCCUGCUGCAUGGUGGGGGUUGGAAAGUUUCGGCGGUUGGGGAUGGACUUGCGGCUUAUCAGCUUGUUGGUGGGGUAGUGGCUUACCAAGGCUUUGACGGGUAGCCGGCCUGAGAGGGUGACCGGCCACAUUGGGACUGAGAUACGGCCCAGACUCCUACGGGAAGCAGCAGUGGGGAAUAUUGCACAAUGGGCGGAAGCCUGAUGCAGCAACGCCGCGUGCGGGAUGACGGCCUUCGGGUUGUAAACCGCUUUCGCCUGUGACGAAGCGUGAGUGACGGUAAUGGGUAAAGAAGCACCGGCUAACUACGUG